rnacentral:lncRNA from 1 species
AGCGGGGAGCAAGGCCUGCGGGGAGGCGCAGGAUGGACGCGUUGGCUGUCAUGAUGUAGGACCUCCUGACCUAGAACCAUGCCCGGCGCAGGGAGAACAACGAGCUUACGGACCGGGUGCGGGGGCUGCUGUGCGAGAAAGCCUACCUGCUGGCCCGGGAGCGUUCGCCGGCCCACCUGGUGGCUUUCCCUGGACGUUUAACGGCGACUCCGCCCGGCCUCCCGACUUUUUGAUGCAGGCGUUCUCUUACAUGACUUUCUUCGAGGCUAGAUUCUCGAAAGACAUCCUGAAGGUGGCUUUCUUAAUUAGCUGCCUCACCGGCUGGCGGAGCAGUUCGUAGUCGCCUACAUCGAGAGGGAGAGCCCCGUCCUGGCUCAGUACUGGGGCUUCGUGGACGCGCUGUAGCGGGUCUUCGCCGUCGUGGGUAGGAAACAGUCGGGCCGGAUCCCCGGUGUCUGGGGAGCGGCUGCCGGCCGGGCCCGCGCGAGCCGCUUCACUCCUACAAGCCCGGCUCACUAGUUCCAAGCUGCUGGACUUUGACCCUCGCUGGGAAGCUUGAUCGCCGCCUGUUCUCGCCAAUCUCUAUGCCUUUGCACUGCCCAGCAACCCGGUCACUGCCCAGGACCUGUUAAAAGUUGAAUGGACCUCCCAGAAUCACGCCGCUGCCACCGCCGUUUCUAGAGACGGCUUUUGGCCACCUUUGAGAAUCAGGGUCAAACUUGGAAGGGCCUGCAUUUGUCACACUUCCUCGGACACUAAUUUGGAUAGUUCAGGCCCAGAGACGGCUUCCCGGGUUAGUGUGCCUGACAACACUGAAGAAAAAUUGUGACAUUUUCCUUCCCCAGAAUUACUUCGUUUUAUACAUUUCACUUCUCUUCUGAAAUCACAGCAAUGCCAGUUUGCGCCUUUUGGUCUGAGGAACGCAGGCCCUGGCCACUACCAGGAAAAAUAAAAAACCUACAGGAUACCACCACCAAAGGAAAAAACAAGUUUUUUUCAGUAAACCUCACAAGAGCAUACAUUUGAUAGAAUACACGGAUUUUCUAAUGAAAGCUCGCCGUCACCAUUUUAUAAGUCAGAACAUGAAAGUCAAAAUAUCUCAUACAGAUGUCUUUUUUUUUUGAGAAGGUACACAAGGCUUGCUUGUAGAGAUGGAGUUACAUGGAGGGACAGAAGGUCACUGGUCAGUGAUUUUAGGUUUUUAUACUUCUGAAAACAGGUAAUUACAGAUUCUGAUCAGUUUAUCAUUUUCUUUAGUCUUUUAUUUUCUGCUGAAUGCUCUCAAGGGAACGGAUCCAUACCUGUUUAUCAGGCUCACCUGGAAGAGCCAAGUCAUCCACUCAGGUCUUCCUCUGGACCUGCAUAAUUUCCUCAUUUACUAGAUUGGGUUUCUUUUAUGUGUGGGCUUUUAAUGCUUGGUAUCUCUGGUCUUCCUAAUAUGUAAUGCUUAGCAUAAUAAUUUUAGCCAUUAUUCAUUUUUGUAGUAGGCUUCACUAGCUUCCUGCUUCUCAAAUCCCUUGAAAAGAUGAGAUUUUUUUUUCGUGGAGUUCACGUCUAGUAAGUUGGUCUUGAUUUUUUUUUUCUUUCAGAACCUUCUGGAUUUCAGCUUUGGCAAGCUUCCUCUGUUUCUGAGACACCUCCAUCACCUGGGUUACAAUCCCAUCCAUGAUUUUCCCCAUCUCCAGGCAUUUUUCAUGGAAAGCUCCUCAUGCUUUUUAAUUCCAGUUUAUCCAUUUGUGUGGCUUUAACCUCCACAUCCAGGUCUUUCUGGCUAAACUGCAGUAUAUCCACAAUGGGGCCAAUGGACACAUAAGGGAGGCCCUAUCACAGGAACACGAACACCCGGAGUCGCUAGAAAUCAGAUUCCACCGGCUUUGCUUCAGGCCGACUUCCUAAGGAAGGCAUGGUAGCAUCACAGAUGCUGUUUGUCUCAGUUUCCUGAGAAGCCAGUUUCUUAGAGCUGUCAUUCAAGAGUGGGUCAAAUUUGAGAUAUAAAAACCUUUCUCAAGGUAGACUCUUUGGCCCCUAUGCCUAGUAUGUCAGCUGGGCCUCUGAAGCUCUCCUCUUUGAGGUCCUGGCAGGCUCUGGCCCCUGUUGAGAAGGGGAAGCAGUCAUGUGAACUCAUGUGCUGGAAGAAUCCACUCUACCCCUUCCCUGGCUUCUCUGCUGCAAUUUUUGUCUUUAAACGUAUUUUCAGGUGAUUCCAGUUUGCAUACAUAAUUGAGAAAUAUAAGAUUUGGUCCCCAGUAGAGAGCCAGGUGAACUUAAGAAGGAGUCCAUCUAAGAAAAUUGCACAAUUAUCUAGUUUCACUUGGGUUUAGCUUUUAUGGCUUACUUGAUUUAGUAAUCAAAUGAUUUUCAAAUGAUUUUGAUCAGGUGACUCUUCGUAAACUAGAGAAUGAACUUGAGAGCCGAAUUAGCACAGUUUAAAAAUAAUCAUUUAGUUUUUGUUCUCUAUUGUGUAAAUUAUUGAGGUUUGACUGUCUUGGCUAAACUAAGGCUCAUCUAAUAUCUUUAUUUUUGAUAUCCUAAUUUCUUGCCAAUUAAUUGAAGGUAACAUACUAGCAGACCAGAUAACUACUUAUGCAAACCUCAGAUAACCACUAAUUUAAACAAAAUUAAAUCCUUUGCCUUCCCCAGAUCCUUUGCACAUGGCCUGCUAUCAACAAUCCUCUACAAUGAUUCUCAGCAUCACCUAGGGAGCUUAUGUAAAAUCUCAAAUUCCUGGGCCCUAUCCCCAGAGUUUCUUAUCAAGUAAGUCUGCAUUGGGAUCUGAGGAUUUGCAUCUCUAACAAAAAUUCCUAGGCGAUGCUCACACUGUUGGUGUAAGGUUUCCUUGAUGGAGAACUAUCAAAGCAGUCAAAGCUAUCAAAAUAAAAAAGAAUUCUGAUUGGGUGCAGUGGCUCACACCUGUCAUUCCAGCACUUUGAGAGGCCAAGGUGGGCAGAUCACAUGAGGCCAGGAGUUCAAGACCAGCCUGGCCAACAUGGCAGAAACCCCAUCUCUACUAAAAAUACCAAAAUUAGCCGGGCAUGGUGGAACACACCUGCAAUCCCAGCUACUCGGGAGGCUGAGGCAAGAGAAUCGCUUGAACCUGGGAGGCAGAAGUUGCAGUGAAACAAGUUGGUGCCAAUGCAUUCCAGCCUGGAUGAUGGAGCGAGACUCUGUCUCAAGAAAAAAAAAACAAAAACAAAAACAGAACUCUGCCUCAUAGCGUCUUUUAAGUUAUACACUGGACCUAUCCUUUCCUCACUGACAGACAUUUUAAAAAUUUUUUGGUAAGGCCUAGUUCAUAUAAAAUGUAAUCCAAGCCAAAAGUUAACAAGAAUAAGGGGAGGAAAGGGGACUCCAAUAGCAGAGAAAGGUAUUUACCUGGGAUAUACACUGCAAGAAAAUCAAAGCUAUAAGAAACGUCCAUGAAUAGUAGCCAUAAGGCAUCAGAGUGAUAAAAUUCCUGUCCCUAGGAGGGAAUAUUGGAGUUUGCCAGAGAAACAGAAUGAGAGAGACAGAGAGGUUUAUUGUAGGAAUUGGCUCAUAUGAUUACGGAGGCUGAGAAGACCCACGAUCUGCCAUCUGCAAGCUGGAGAAUCAGGAAAGCUGGAGGUGUAAUUCAGUCAAGUCCAAUGGCCAGAGAAGCAAGUGUACUGAUAUCCAAGAGCAGGAGAAAAUAGAUGUCCCAGAACAAGCAGAGAGGCUGAUUUUGUCCUUCCUCUGCCUUUUUGUUUCAUAUGGGGCACUGAAUGGACUGAUGCCCAUCCACAUUAGUGAGGGUGGAUCUUCUUUACUCAGUCUACCAGUAGAAAUGUCAAUGACUUCCAGAAACACCCUCACCAACACACGUGGAAAUAAUGUUUUACCAGGUAUCUGGGCAUCCCUUGGUUCACUCAAGUUGACACAAAAUUAACCAUCACAGAAGGAGACUGGCCUUACUCUGAAAUUAGGAAACUAAAGAAGUGACCAGAAUGGAGACUAGGUAGAGACAACUAGUUCUCUACCAAACAUGUACAGUUAUUCGUUGGUAUCUGAAGGGGAUUGGUUCCAGGAACUCUCAGGGAUACCAAAAUCUGCAGGUGCUCAAGUCAUUUAUAUAAAAUAUUACAGUAUUUGCAUAUAACCUUUGCACAUCUUCCAUAUACUUUAAAUCAUCUCUACAUUACUUAUAAUAAUGAAUGUGUAAAUGCUAUGAAAAUAGUUACUACACUAUUGUUUAUUUGUAUUUUUAUUGAAUUGUUUUGGGGUGGGGGGCAGCUGUAUCUUUCUUAGUAAUAGAACCCCUGGUUUUAGCUGGGCACAUGACUGCCCUCAAUAAAGAUUAAAGUACCCCAGCCUUCCUUGAGAUUGUGGCCAUGUGACUGAACUUUAGACAGUGAGAUAUAAGCAGAUAUCUUCUGUGGCAGUGUUAGGAAACUAUUAAAGACAGUAAGAACAUUGCCCUUUGCCUUCUUUUUCCUUUCUUCAUUUUUCUGCCUGGAAUGCAAAUGUGAUGGCUAACACCCUAGCAGCCAUUUUAGAUUAUGAAGAUGAGAGUCACUCCCCAGGAAGGGUGGACCUGAAAGCUGGAUUCUAGAUGUGGAAUGACAAUACCAGCCCUGGACUACCUACCUGUAGGCUGUGUGUGUGUGUGUGUGAUUGACAGAGAGAGAGAGAGAUAGAUACCACAAGUAACACAAAGCAUCAUACCUGGGACUGGGAAGGUUAAUGUUUAAACAUUUUAAAUGUGGCAUUGGUUUGUUGAAGACAGUCAAGCAGUAGGUGCUGCAGGCUUUGUUGAGGCUAGAAAGCUGUUGGUCUUUAUUAGGUGAUGGCAAAACAAUGGAUCACAUUUUCAUGUGCUGUGUCUUGGGAGGCAAAUGAUGAGAAUGUAGGAUUGGGGAAAAUGGUAAGGAAAAUCCAAAAUGUUCAUGUUUUCUAACCCCUUCUUGCCAAUCUUAAAAGAAGGACAAACAGGCUAGAUUAAGCAAGUCUACAGUUACAAUUGGAAGGAAACACAGCCGUACUAAGGAAGUACUCUGUCUGUGGCCUGCAGUCUAGUUUGACUAGGUCCUGUAUUUGAGCUUUGAAAGAGUAAAGAAUACAAGUGCUCGUAUACCCCUGAAGUAGUUACCAGCAGUGACUGCAAGGAGGUAAUCUUAUGGGAUGAAACUAUAACUCUGUAUUAACCAUCAUAUAUAGCAUAUAUGUGUAUAUGUAUGUGUGUGUGUGUAUAUGUGUAUAUAAAUAUAUGUGUGUGUAUAUACACACAUGUACACACCCUACAACCCAGUGAUUUCAAAAAAUUAAACAUUUGUUUAGCUCAUGAAUCUGUGGGUUGGGUGAACAUUUCUAUUGGUCUUGGCUGGGCUCACCUGUACCCAGUCAGCUGCAGGGUCUAGCUCUUCUUAUCUUGGCUGGGAUCUCACACAUGUCUAGGAUCAGCUGCUUUACUAGUCUAGGAUUGUCUUGGCUGAGACAGGUGGACUACUCAGUUCUCCUCCACUGCCUUAUCCUUCAGCUGGCCAGCCCAGAAAUGUUGCCAUGUUUACAGCAUAAGAGCAAGCAAGAAAGAAUAAUAUGCAACCACUUUUCCAAGCCUAAGGUGAAAGGGCGGGCAGAACCUGUGGUGUUAGGAGGCAACUCAUACCAGCCCAUGGGUCUACCGUUUAAUUUUCAGAAAUUUGGCAAGCUGAUUGUUAACACAGCUGUUGUUUAAUUUAUGUACUUGUAAUUAAAUAAUUUACAUUAAAACAAAGAUAAUAGGUACUCAAA